rnacentral:rRNA from 1 species
AACGAACGCUGGCAGCAUGCCUAACACAUGCAAGUCGAACGAGACCUUCGGGUCUAGUGGCGCACGGGUGCGUAACGCGUGGGAACCUGCCCUUAGGUUCGGAAUAACUCCCCGAAAGGGGUGCUAAUACCGGAUAAUGUCUUCGGACCAAAGAUUUAUCGCCUUUGGAUGGGCCCGCGUUGGAUUAGCUAGUUGGUAGGGUAAAAGCCUACCAAGGCGACGAUCCAUAGCUGGUCUGAGAGGAUGAUCAGCCACACUGGGACUGAGACACGGCCCAGACUCCUACGGGGGGCAGCAGGGGGGAAUAUUGGAAAAGGGGCGAAAGCCUGAUCCAGCAAUGCCGGGUGAGUGAUGAAGGCCUUAGGGUUGUAAAGCUCUUUUACCCGGGAUGAUAAUGACAGUACCGGGAAAAUAAGCCCCGGCUAACCCCGU